rnacentral:misc_RNA from 1 species
UUAUGCCACAUUCUGGCAGGUUUGGUGCGCACACGUGUGCCAUCGUUGUCAGAGACCUGGGCCUUCACCGCUGAUCGCCCCGAAUGCAGUGUGCACGUGUCGUGAUAUGGUCGUCGUUGAUCGAUUGUGAUCGACACGCGUGCUUUUUGCUUUGC